UUUAGUCAGGCAACGAGCGAGACCCACGCCCACAGUUGCCAGCGUACUCUCCGGAGUGACGGGUACACUGUGGGGACCGCCGCUGCUAAAGCGGAGGAAGGAAUGGGCAACGGUAGGUCAGUAUGCCCCGAAUAUCCCGGGCUACACGCGAGCUACAAUGGUUGGUACAAUGGGUAUCUACCCCGAAAGGGGAUGGAAAUCUCCUAAAGCCAAUCUUAGUCCGGAUUGAGGGCUGCAACUCGCCCUCAUGAAGCUGGAAUCCGUAGUAAUCGCGUUUCAACAGAACGCGGUGAAUACGUCCCUGCUCCUUGCACA
rnacentral:rRNA from 1 species